UACGGAGAGGGCGAGCGUUAUUCAUAGUGAUUGGGCGUAAAGGGUACGUAGACGGUGCUUUAAGUUCUAUUUGAAAUUCCAUGGCAUAACUGUGGUUGUUUAGAAAACUAUUGUGCUAGAGUUUAGUAGAAGUAAGUGGUACUUUUGGAGUAAAGGUAAUAAUUUUUGAUUUCAAGAGGACCCCCAACGGCAAAAGCAACUUACUAUGCUAUACUGACGUUGAGGUACGGGGGCAUGGGUAUCAAACAGG
rnacentral:rRNA from 1 species